AACGAACGCUGGCGGCAGGCUUAACACAUGCAAGUCGAACGCACCUUUCGGGGUGAGUGGCAGACGGGUGAGUAACGCGUGGGAAUCUACCCUUCUCUACGGGAUAGCUCCGGGAAACUGGAAUUAAUACCGUAUACGUCCUGAGGGAGAAAGAUUUAUCGGGGAAGGAUGAGCCCGCGUUGGAUUAGCUAGUUGGUGGGGUAAAGGCCUACCAAGGCGACGAUCCAUAGCUGGUCUAAGAGGAUGAUCAGCCACAUUGGGACUGAGACACGGCCCAAACUCCCACGGGGGGGGGGAGGGGGGAAUAUUGGACAAUGGGCGCAAGCCUGACCCAGCCAUGCCGGGUGAGGGAGGAAGGCCCUAGGGUUGUAAAGCUCUUUCAGUGGGGACGAUAAUGACGGUACCCACAAAAGAAGCCCCGGCUAACUUCGU
rnacentral:rRNA from 1 species